rnacentral:rRNA from 1 species
GAUGAACGCUGGCGGCGUGCCUAAUACAUGCAAGUCGAGCGAACGGACGAGAAGCUUGCUUUUCUGAUGUUAGCGGCGGACGGGUGAGUAACACGUGGAUAACCUACCUAUAAGACUGGGAUAACUUCGGGAAACCGGAGCUAAUACCGGAUAAUAUUUUGAACCGCAUGGUUCAAAAGUGAAAGACGGUCUUGCUGUCACUAAUAGAUGACUCCGCGCUGCAUUAGCUAGUUGGUAAGGUAACGGCUUACCAAGGCAACGAUGCAUAGCCGACCUGAGAGGGUGAUCGGCCACACUGGAACUGAGACACGGUCCAGACUCCUACGGGAGGCAGCAGUAGGGAAUCUUCCGCAAGGGGCGAAAGCCUGACGGAGCAACGCCGCGUGAGUGAUGAAGGUCUUCGGAUCGUAAAACUCUGUUAUUAGGGAAGAACAUAUGUGUAAGUAACUGUGCACAUCUUGACGGUACCUAAUCAGAAAGCCACGGCUAACUACGUG